UGGGAUGUAGCCAAGUGGAAAGGCAUAGGGUUUUGACCCCUACAUCCGCAGGUUCGAUUCCUGCCGUCCCAGCCA
rnacentral:tRNA from 1 species